AGAGCGGUAUUUGCCUGCUUGUAGCAGUUCUUGUCUGAUCCGUGCAUUCGUAUCUUUCUUCAGUUGUACCAGAUGGUGUGGCGGCCCUUGUAAGGGCUACUGAUACUCCAGAUUCUAAAUUCUGGAUUUUAGAUAGCGAUGCACUGCGAAAUUAUGACCAACCUUUCCUGCUAUGGAAACGAAAGGCGUAUGCGAGUCUAGAAUCCAAAAUCCGGGAGCUGCGCAGCAACUUCACUUCCUUCAUCGUCCUAGGCACUGCAGGGAUAGGGAAAUCGUUCUUUGGCUAUCACUGGAUUAUUAGGCUGGGCCAAAUGGGGCAAGAAAAGGCGUUAUACAAGGUUGGCAAGGUUGUUUACAUCCUGAAUUUGCGAAGCCGAUAUGUUGAAGGUGGUUAUGACAUGAAUGGCCAAAUUAUACGCCAAAUGCUGGACUAUCAGUCAAUGUGGCUAGUGAUAGAUGGGAAGCAGGAGACGCCUUUACCUGGCAAGUGUCGAGUUCUUUUGGUUUGCUCAUCUAAGAAGAAAAACUACCAGGAGUUUGGCAAGGGGGGACUUUGUUGCAUGCUUUAUAUGUCGGUGUGGUCCAGGGAGGAGAUUGGGGAAUUCCUUGACGACUUUGAGCCUUACCGAACUAGUUAUGGGAACAUGAAUGUGGUGGACAGAAAGGAAGGGCUUGACAACUUCGAUUAUUUGGGUGGAGUUCCUAGGUAUGUACUGCGUGCAACAAAGCUGAAAGAGGGGAAGUCCUUGGCCAAGAGUGCGGUUGAGUCGUUCGGAUCAAGUGUAUCCAAAGCGGCUAAAAUUUUGUCAGGAGGGUACGUGAAAAAAGUCAGCGACUGCAUUCUGCACAUCGUGGCAACUGAGGACCACAGCGAAAAGACAUCAGUUUGCAAGCGAGGCUUUGAUGACAGAGCUUGGGAAUCAAUAUCUGCGUGCUGGAGCUGUGCCUGUGGUGGGAUUUCUGAAAGAAACAUUCACCUGCCCUUGGGUGGGGGCUCUGUGGGGGAAGCUUUAUGAGCCUCUUGUGCAUAGGCUACUGUUGAAGGGUGGUGAUUUUGUUAUCAAGGCAGUUUAUGCUAAUGGACGCUCCGGUCCUGAGACUUCCGUUCAUAUUGGACCUCAUAUCAUGCUGGAGGCAAGUUCUGCGGGUGAGUUUGGAGGAAAGAUGGGGAUGGGCAAGUACGUGCAACCAACUUCUGAAGUCUUUCCGAGCAUUGAUUCUGGUAUGGAUGAAGACAUUCUCAUUCAGGUCUUCAAGAGAGUGGAUGGAAAACACGGCUUUGAAGCGAGUGGCUUAGAAAUGGUGGAUGCUGCGUUGAAGAGACCAAGCUACAGGUUGUGGUCGUGUGUUCCAAAAGAGACGUUUCCGCGAACUGGAUGGCAGCAAUACCAGAAUAAUAAUGAUGGAGACUAUGGGAGAGGAAAUGCAGUAUUUGGGAAGAAGCAGCAGUUUGUUGUUCAAGUGGACUACGAGGAUGCACGAUGAAGCUUCUGUUUUUUUAUAUAUAUACUUACAAUAUAAAUUUCUCGGUAAAUCAAAGUUUUUAAUAAAAUACUAGAAAUUGCCCAGCAAAAAGCAGGUGGGUUGGCAAAGUGUGUGAGUGCUUUGAAUAUGGAAAGGGAAUACAGAAAUAUGCAUAUCAAUUAGCCCAAAAACCUUAGUUUAUAUACAGGAGCGAGUGGUUGGAUUGAAACCAAUCCAACGGCUAUCAAAAUCCUACUAUGCUAAUAUUAGUAUACGGCAUCGUAGCCGUACACUUGGCCCUCAUAUCAUCCCCCCCCCUCUCGGAAUAAUAUAAGACCAUCAGGGUGUUCUUGUAGACGGGCCGGGAUCUGGAGGAACGUCAGGAGGAGGCAUCGGAGGAUCUGUAGGUGGUAUUAACUGCUCCUGAUCCUUUUGUAUGAAAUGUUUCAACCGCUGCACAUGCACAAUCUCUAGAGGAUCAGCCUGCUGGAUGUCAUGCUAAAUCUCAUAAACUUGUGGUUCAACUUGCCGCAACACCUGAUACGGUCCUUUCCACUGUGGAAGGAGCCCCUUAGAUAAACCACGUACCGUAAGAUGGGGAAAACAGAUUAAUACCAAAUCAUCCACUUUGUACUCCGCAGGUGCACGAUGAUGGGAGUUGUACCGCCGUUGUUGUCCCACUUGUACGCGGCCUAAGUGUUCGGUAGACUCUGCUCGAACAAGUGGAAGAAUGCUUGUCAAAUACUAAUCCCAUGAUCUAGCAUCCGCAACUCAUGGUAAUCGUGAAGGUAAACCUAGCUCCGUUGGUAGUAUUGGAUCAUGACCAUAUAGGAGUUUAUAUGGUGAAGCACCAACAGAACUCUGCACCCCUGUGCCAUAUGCAUACCGAAGAGACGGCAAAUAACCAUCCCAAUCUGAAUGCUGAAAGUUCACAUACUUCGCAAUCAUCCCUUUGAAUGUCCGAACAAGCCGUUCCACCAGACCGUCUGAUUGUGGAUGAUAAGCACUCGUGAAAGUGUGGCGUAUCCCCAACCGAGACGUCAAAACAUGAAAUGCCUUAGCCAUAAAUGCGGGACUAUUAUCUGAAAAAAUCUGCUCUGGACAAGAAUGCUGGAACACCACUCGAUUGAGGAGGAAGUAUUCAAUAGUAGUUGCAGAGGCACUAGCAAGAGCAUCAACUUCCACCCAACGAGUCAAGUAGUCAGAAGCAAUAAUAACAUAUUCAUUGCCAGCAGUUGACCGUGGAAAAGGUCCCAUAAAAUCAAACGCCACCAACUCAAAUGGACGGGAAAUUGCAAUUGACUCCAACUAUCCUUCCGUAGCCCGAGGGGGAGUAUUAUGAGCUUGGCACCAAACGCAGCUACGCACAUACCGGAUAAUAUCACGUCGCAUCUCCGGCUAAUAGAAAGACCUGUGCAACUUCUCGGUUAUACGACGAUGUCUCAUAUGCCCUCCUAAAACAGGAGAAUCAUGGUAGGCAUGGAGAAACAACGAAAUAAAAAUAGAAGGCACCACCAGCCUUAAAUGAUCAUUAGGAUCCGUCCCCACAAAAUAAAGAAGGUCGUCUUCAAGGUGAUAUUGAGAAUGUAAAUGCCAGAAAAGCAAAUCAUCAACAAGUGAUGCAGAAUUCUCAAACCCAUCUCGAAGCCUUCGAAUCCACGGCUCAAUCUUUUGAGCCUCGCGAACCUCAUCAAGAGAAGGUAGAUCUUGCUCUGUGUUGAACGUCAAGUAUAGCAACCGUCGACAGUACAGAAUCCUCGUCUAGAAAAUCCACAGAGACUGGAACAACAGGCUCGUCAGAAAUAUGAGAAGAGAAUGGAAAAGGAAGAGGAGCUCGAGAAAGAGCAUCAGCAUCAGCCAUAGAACUCCCUAGGCGAUGAACAACAUCAAAAUCAUAUAUCUGAAGCUUCAAAGCCCAUCGAGCAGUACGACCAACCAGGUUCUUCUGCUUCAAUAAUGAAGUAACAGCAGCAUAAUCACCUUCAAGUAACUUCCGAGAACCAUGUAGAUAUGUAUGAAGUUUCUCGAAACCCCAAACUGUUGCUAAACACUCCUUCUCUGUCGUGGAGUAGUUCAUUUCCACUAGUUGUAAUGUAUGGCUGAUAUACACAAUAGGAUGGUGUUGACCAGGCACACUCGAGCUCUCUUGUAUCAACACACUUCCAAGACCAAUGUCAGAAGCAUCCACGCGCAAAAUAAAAGGUCGAGUGUAGUCAGGAUAUGCCAAAACCGGAGGAGUCGUCAAUAGCUCUUUGAGAUCCCCGAAUGCACACUCACAAUUCGGAGACCAAAUGAAAGAUGAUGUUGAUGACUUCAGCAACAUUCGCAACGGAGUAGUGCAGUUAGAAAGAUGAUCCACAAAAUAACCAAGAUACUACAUCUUGCCCAAGAAGCACUGCACAUCAUUCACACACUUCGGAGUAAGGAACUUUAGAACAGCCACAAGUUUAUCAGGAUCAACUUGCAAACCCUCACGAGAAAUACGGUACCCAAGAUAACUUGUAUCCUUGGACCCAAACACGCACUUCGACCGCUUUAGCUUUAAACCAACGUCGCAUAGCCAAUCCAACAUUUUCCAAACAUCACGAACGUACUCCUCCCACGUCCCCUCCGAGUGAAUCAAAACAUCAUCAAUGAAGUCAGUAGUCACCUUUGGCAUAUCACAAAGAACUUCGUCUAUCAUCCGCUAGAAAGUUGCUAGAGCAUUGUUUAAACCAAAUAGCAUCACCAAGAACUCGUACAAACCAAACGGUGUACGAAAAGCAGUCUUAGGAAUAUCUUUUUCGGCCAUCAGUACUUGCCAGUACCCAGAAGCAAGAUCUAGCUUGGUGAACCAACGACUUCGCCCUAGACAAUCCAAGAGAUCAGCAGUGUGAGGAAGAGGGUACACAUCCGGGAUCGUCACUUCAUUUAACGGACGAUAGUCGAUGCAGAAACGAAUACUCCCAUCAGGCUUCGUCACAAGAUGAGGUUCACAUGCCUAAGGACUCCGCGACUUCCAAAUAACACCCUUCUCCAACAUCUCCUUGACGUUUGCAUGUAAAAUCUUGAUCUCCUUGGGUGACCGACAACGAACAAGAACCUUGAUUGGACAAGCAUCCCCAGUUGGAAUCAGAUGACAUGUGGCAAUCUUGGUCCCAGACAAUACGUUAAAUUCAAAGAGAUCAGAAUACUCCUUUAUGAGUCGGUCAACAGCUGCAACACAAAGAUCAUCGGAGGGAUUGGAAAAGGGAAGAGCAGAACAAGAUGGCAACAUAGGAGCAAAUAGUGGGGGAACAAAAGUAAUGGAAGCAGAGGUAGAAAUAAAGGGAUAAAGAGGUACGGAAGUGAGAGGAAUGGAUGAAACAUAAGGAAGUAUGAGACAAGGGGGAGAAGCCUCAAAGUUACACUUGGCAUGAUUGUGUUGCAACCAAUCCAUACCAAGAAUGAGGUCAAAACUUGACUCGGCACCACCCGCAAUGACUGCAACUCAAGCUCGAGAUCGCCCACAUGCACAACCAGGUCCGCCUCAUCUCGUGCACAUGCAUGUGUACGGCCGUUGCCAUAAAGAAUGAAAACUGGAUCUGCCGCACGACGCAAGUGUAGACGACAACGUGUGGCAACAGGUCGAGCAAUAGAAGAUAAACUCAAACUUGUAUUAACCAACACGGAGAGAAUAAUAGGAGACCUCUUGUUAUAAAAACGAGCUUGGAAAGUAAACACUAGAUGAACCGGUGCCGAGUGAAUCCCUUGAUGAUACUCCCGAAAGAAAGAUGGAGGGGUCACUAACUUAUUUGCACAAGGUCCCUCCAUUACUCACGCGACUCCUCGUUUCCCGGAUGCACCUCGGUGUCCAAACCUUCCACUGCAGCAGCACCAACGGGACGUUGCUGACGCCAAAGUCUCCACCCAGGAAAUGGAGGUCGCCAAUCUAGAAAGCGCCGACAACGCCAAUAAGUAUGACCAACUUCAUCAGACACCCAGCAACGAACAUCAUGGCCACGUCCAUGUCCUCACCCUUGUCCUGGGACUUGAGUAACAGUAGCAUCAACCUCCAUUGGAACAGGACCAUCACUCAUAGAAAGUGGAGCGGAAGGACGUGCAGCGAGAAGUGGAAGAGGCAACGUCUCAUAACGUUGUGCCAAGCGAAGAGCAUCAUCAAGGGUGGUAGGAGCAAGUGCAUGCAUAAGGCCGACAAGAUCUUGACGAAGUGUUGGCCACAACAUUCCUAGCUUGAUCCGCUCUGACAUAUUGGGCUCCACAUGAAGCAAAAGACUUCGGAAACGAACACCAAAUUGCAUCACCGACUCAGAUGGCCUUUGGCGAAGAUGAUGCAAUUGUUGGAAGGCAUCGUCACAAUCGUCAGCAUGUCUGAAGGCGUGUUUGAAGACGUCUGGAAGAACACUCCAAUCCCCACGAGUGGCCGCACUCAAUCCAUUGUACCAUUGCAACGCCAUCCCUUAGAGACACGUGGGAAACUCACGCAAACGUCGAGCAUCAUCCCAAGAAUGAUAUGUGGCAAUCACCGUGAAGUGAUCGAACCAAUGGUACACAUCAUCCCCAGGAUUCUCACGAAAGAACUCCGGCCGAACGCAAGGAUUGGCACCAAGAGUAGUACGAGUUGGGCCACGUGCUGUGAAUGCCGCCAUCAAUUGAGUUUGGUUGUUCAAUUGCAAGCGCAUAGCAUCAAGCAAUUGGACCAACUGCUGCUCUAGAGUCAAAGGAGGAGAUUGUUGAUCUGCCAUGAAGACGGAUGAAGAAAGAGCAAAAGAAGAGAAAUGACAAAAAACGAGAAGGAAAUGGGAGAUCUAGACAAUGCAAAAAGCUAGAUCUAAACCAAAAUCCUAAAAGGGAAGAACAAAAGAAAGGAAAUGGAAAAAGCUAGAUCUAGACGAUGCAAAAGCUAGAUCUAAACUGAAAUCCCAAAUCCAAGCACUCCCCAGAGACAAUUAAAGGUGCCCCUCACCUCCACCAAUGUGAGUGUUUCAAAUAUGGAAAAGGAAUACAGAAAUGUGCAUAUUAAUUAGCCCAAAAACCCUAGCUUAUAUACAGGAGCGAGUGGUUCGGAUUGAAACCAAUCCAAUGGCUAUCAAAAUCCUACUACGCUAAUAUUAGUAUACGGCAUCGUAGCCAUACAUUUAGCCCUCACAGGUGAAGUUUUCAAAAAACUUUAAAUCUGAGCCAAAAAAGACAAAUACAUUGGCUAAGAGUUUUAUGUCACAAGUAUUAUAGCUUCUAGAUUUGAGUGUCAUGGUUUCAUUGCCAGUAUUAAAAUAAAACUGUUAAAUUCAAAGCAUAAGAAUACUAAUCAUUGUGUUAUGUGAUGUUUAGUUUGCAUUUGUUUUUCUUUUGGAUAACAAAGGAAAAACUUUUGGUGAGAUUUUUUUUUCUUCCACAAAUGGAAGCAUGAUACCUAUUCCCAAUUGGAGCAAAUUAUCUCAACCUAGAAGCUGCCUAAACCUUGGGAAAGAAGACAUGAACAUAACUUUGACAGAAUUUAAAUGGUAUUUUUCCAUAUUUUUACAUAUUGUACAGUGUUAUGAGCUUGGCACUAUAGAUUUCUCCACUGCAAUGGCAGCUUUUUCUCAAUUGCUUCCUUCUGCAACACCGGUGGCAGAAAUGUUGAGGUGAUGGAGCUUGAAUCCUUUGUGUGGCUUGUGAGGUGUGGCUUUACUGUGAGCUUGAGCUCUAGCAAGUGUUGAUGGUGAACACUACUGAGUUUUCGGUGUUGUCCUCGCUCUUGCUACCAUUGUUGUAGUCUUGGCUGUCCUCGGAGUUUGCGUCCCAUGCACUGUUCUUGUGGGAGAUGGCUGUGUCACUGAGACAAAAGCGUGCUUGUUUCUCGAUCACUUCCUCGGACUUGUGCAGGGCAGUGUGAACCACAAGCUUCUUCUCUUCAUCUUUGAUUUCCAGGAUGUCUUUGAGGAGGAGGAACACCUCGUUUGAUCUUAGUAGACUGCGAUGGUCGCCUGGAACCCUGUGCCUCGCAGUCGCAGGGAACCCAACAUCCUAUGAAGAAAGCAGAGUUCAGAACUGGGUGAUAGAAAUAGAGGGCUACCUUGGAAGACUUGGAUGGUACCGUGCCAUCUCCAUCCACAUACUUGAAAUUGGCCUGCAAAGUCCAAAGUUUCUUUGAGUAAGCAUGAAGAAAAAACUCCACAUUACCUUGAGCUCAACUAUGAGGCAUUUUUUCACUCCCGUAGCUGGAAACAAUGGAAAAAAGUUGCCAAUGAAGUUGGCUAUCAAGAAUGAAGAACACAUACCAGACAUGGAAUGAAGUUUUGCAUGAACUGCCAUAGAUGUUGUAGAAUUUAAAAUCUUUAGGAAGUUUUGCAAAGAACCAUAGAUAGCAGGACUCAUUUGCCCACUCAAGAAUGCAUCUUAUUGAAAGGAAUGGGUAUUGUCUUGUCAUCAUAGCUCAGCUGCAUAGAAAAUAUUUAGUUUACCAACAUAACCAAAGAAAAGAAAAGAGUAGUUGAUAUACCACUAACCAUGUUCUUUUUAAGUGCAACUUCCAUCUCAAAAACACACUAUAUGAGUGUAUAGCUAUAGAGUUGUCGGGCUCUAAAAAACUCGAGGUAAAGGUCUUGAGAUAGAGAUAGAGUUCUGAGUUGUACAGCUUUUGGAGUUUUAGAUUGUCUAUGAUCCCGUCGGGAGGUAUGAAGAGCUCACCAAGGAGCUCCAAAGCUUGGGUGGUUUUGCUCAAAAUCUUACAUUAUUUUCGCCAUCCAAGGUAUGUAUAGUUUUCCCAAAGUUUUCUUCUUGGAUAGAGCUAAAGAACUUUAUAACCAGAUCAAUGUUUUCCUGGGAAUCACGAGCAAGAGAGCUGAUGGCUACCAUGAUUUAACAUCUCUCUUUCAUGUAAGCUUCUCGGUCUUUUUUUUUUUUUUUUUCUUGUUCUAGUUUCUCAAGAAACUUUUCACUCAGGUGAUUAGCCUGGGAGAUACUUUAAAGUUUUUAGUCUCUCCUUCUAAAAAGAAAGACUUGCUUACAAUAAAUGUGUUUGGAAUCCCACUCAACGACUCAAACUUGGUAAAACUAUCCAUUCAUUCUUUUCCAAGGAUUUACAAAACAUUUGUGUGAUUCUUUUGCAAGGUGAUCAAAGCUCUAAAUCUUUAUAGAAAGAAGACCGAGAGCGACACAUACUUCUGGGUAAGCUCUCAAUAAACUUUCCUCGAUCAAAACAUUUAGUUUUUCUUCUUAAGGUUCACUUGGACAAAAGAGUUCCAAUUGGAGGUGGCAGUGGUAAUGCCACCACUGCUCUUUAGGCUGCAAACCAGAUAAAUGGACACUUUGCUAGCAAAGUGGAUCUACAAGAAUGGUUUACGGAGAUCAACUCUGAUAUUCCUUUCGUUUUCUCACAUGGAGCAGCCUGUUGCACUAGCCAUGGAGAGGUACACUUAGCAAAAAGAUAACUUUUCACUUGACAGGAUAGACGAUAAGUGCAAUCAUAGUUAACACAUUUGCAUGUGACACAUGCCACAGGGCCUUCUUCUCUUGCCCCAUGCAGUUUAGUCACCUCCCAUUGACUGGGAGCAAACAUUAGCAUGAUUAUUCGCUAAGACGUGGUUAAAGAAAUAACCCUUUUACAGUUACCCCCCAUCAGAUGGCUGCCAUUGGCUCGAUCCAGCAGCCUAGAAAGUUUGGCACUAUUAUGAUAGAUGUUUGUUAUUUUAAUACUAUAUACUACUCAUUUAAGUUAUUUUUAAAACUGAUGUUUGAUAUUAAUAAAUUGAUAACAGUUGAGAUAUUUGAGCAAAGAUUUAUGUGAUUUAGCAGUUGAUCAAAUAUUCAAAGGAAUCCAAGUGUAACAACUUAAAUUGACUGAAGUAUAACUGCUGAUGAGGAUAAUUUAAAUACCACACUAAUCAUCCUGUCCAGCGCAAUCAUGAGCAUAGCACAGCACCUGCCUUCUUCCUUGUGGUGGGCUCUAUUUGUCUUAUAUAUAACAGUGUUCCUGUGAUCGUGCCUUAAAUUUCUUGUUUUGUUUGUCGGUUCUUUACGAGAAACAAUUUCUGAAGCUGUAAGAUUGUGAGAAACAUCAAUUUGAAAUACUAUAUAUAUGUCAUGAUUACUGCUCUGCAAAGGGAAGGAAAAAACCAUGCACCUUUUCUUCCUCUUUCUCCACGUACCCAAGAAAAGCCUCAAAUCGUUUGUCAGGUUCCUUGAAAAGCCAUUUGUAAUACGUCUCUCUAUCCUCAAAAUUCUUCCUGAGCAUCUCCCAGUAAUAGCUUGUCCACACAAUCCUGGAAUGCCUUGAUGCUACGCUCAUUUCUCGCCGAUGCGAACAGCGCCGUCCCAGCUCUCCCCAGCAUACUUGUCGACACCCCAGACGCAAGUGAAUCCAAGAAGGUGAAUGCCCACAUUGUGUACCAUGGCCAAGA
rnacentral:lncRNA from 1 species